rnacentral:rRNA from 1 species
UACGUAGGGUCCGAGCGUUGUCCGGAGUUACUGGGCGUAAAGCGCGCGCAGGCGGCGGUGUUGGCCCGGCGUGAAAGCCCCCGGCUCAACCGGGGAGGGUCGUCGGGGACCGCGCCGCUUGAGGGCGGCAGGGGCUGGUGGAAUGCCUGGUGUAGUGGUGAAAUGCGUAGAGAUCAGGCGGAACACCCGUGGCGAAGGCGGCCAGCUGGGCCGUCCCUGACGCUGAGGCGCGAAGGCGUGGGGAGCGAACAGG